rnacentral:rRNA from 1 species
CCCUUAGACGUUCUGGGCCGCACGCGCGCUACACUGACGAAGGCAACGAGCUUUCCUUUACCGAAAGGUACGGGUAAUCUUUUGAAACUUCGUCGUGCUGGGGAUAGAUCCUUGCAAUUUUUGAUCUUAAACGAGGAAUGCCUAGUAAGCGCAAGUCAUCAACUUGCGUUGAUUACGUCCCUGCCCUUUGUACACACCGCCCGUCGCUACUACCGAUUGAAUGGUUUAGUGAGGCCUUCGGAUCCGCGACUCGUUUUGUGGAGAAGUUGGACAAACUCAGUCAUUUAGAGGAAGUAAUAGUCGUAACA